ACGAACCGUGCGAACGUUAUUCGGAAUCACUGGGCUUAAAGGGCGCGUAGGUGGUCUGAUAAGGGUGUGGUGAAAGCCCGGGGCUCAACCCCGGGUCGGCCGUGCCGACUGUUAGACUAGAGUGCUGUAGGGGCAGGCGGAAUUCCGGGUGUAGCGGUGGAAUGCGUAGAGAUCCGGAAGAACACCGGUGGCGAAGGCGGCCUGCUGGGCAGUAGCUGACGCUGAAGCGCGACAGCGUGGGGAGCAAACAGGA
rnacentral:rRNA from 1 species